rnacentral:rRNA from 1 species
GGUAAGGUGAUAUGAACCGUUAUAACCGGCGAUACCCGAAUGGGGAAACCCAGUGUGAUUCGUCACACUAUCAUUAACUGAAUCCAUAGGUUAAUGAGGCGAACCGGGGGAACUGAAACAUCUAAGUACCCCGAGGAAAAGAAAUCAACCGAGAUUCCCCCAGUAGCGGCGAGCGAACGGGGAGGAGCCCAGAGCCUGAAUCAGCAUGUGUGUUAGUGGAAGCGUCUGGAAAGGCGCGCGAUACAGGGUGACAGCCCCGUACACAAAAGCGCAUGUGCUGUGAGCUCGAUGAGUAGGGCGGGACACGUGGUAUCCUGUCUGAAUAUGGGGGGACCAUCCUCCAAGGCUAAAUACUCCUGACUGACCGAUAGUGAACCAGUACCGUGAGGGAAAGGCGAAAAGAACCCCGGCGAGGGGAGUGAAAAAGAACCUGAAACCGU